AUUGAACGCUGGCGGCAUGCUUUACACAUGCAAGUCGAACGGAAACAUGGAGAGCUUGCUCUCUGAUGUCGAGUGGCGAACGGGUGAGUAAUACAUCGGAACAUGUCCUUUUGUGGGGGAUAACUACUCGAAAGAGUAGCUAAUACCGCAUAAGACCUACGGGUGAAAGCGGGGGACCUUCGGGCCUCGCGCAGAUGGAGUGGCCGAUGACUGAUUAGCUAGUUGGUGGGGUAAAGGCCUACCAAGGCGACGAUCAGUAGCUGGUCUGAGAGGACGACCAGCCACAUUGGGACUGAGACACGGCCCAAACUCCUACGGGAGGCAGCAGUGGGGAAUUUUCGUCAAUGGGGGGGAACCCUGAACGAGCAAUGCCGCGUGUGUGAAGAAGGUCUUCGGAUCGUAAAGCACUGUUGUAAGCGAAGAACGACUGAUAUAGGAAAUGAUAUCAGAGUGACGGUAGCUUACCAGAAAGCCACGGCUAACUACGUGCCAG
rnacentral:rRNA from 1 species